rnacentral:lncRNA from 1 species
AGCCUGUCCAGGGAUUCAGGCUGGAACAGCUGGCGAGGCCUAUGAGCAGGUUUACUGCUGGAGUCCUUGGGUAGGCUGCCUUGGUGACUGAUCAGUGGGGACUUGGGCCUGAUACCUUGGUCCAUAAGACAUGGGCCUGGUUCUGGGGCAGUCCUGGAGCCUCCAUAUGUGGAAGGCGUUCUGGAGCUGAGGUGCCAUAAUCUUUCACCUGGGUUCCUUAGCUCUUGUGAAGGUAUCUUCAUGCAUGGAUGGUAGUUCAAACUGAUGUUUCUUUGAAAGGUCGAAUGUUACUGAAGGGGAAGACAAUGACCAGGAACUUCUCCAAAGUCAA